rnacentral:sRNA from 1 species
CAGGCACGCUUGCUUAUUUAAUGGGCUGUGAUAGGGUCAGUCGCAGGUUAAAUGACCCCGCCUUUGGGCGGGGUUUUGUUUUUUU